UGCUUUUCUUUACUUUCCUCUCAUUUCUCUUCUUCCCCUUCCAUUCUCAAUCCGGUUCUCGUCUCCAGUCAAUCCUUCGUUGAUUUUCAGCAUACCCUGGGACCCUUAUUUCCAGGUACAUCUCUUCCUUUCUUUUUAGAGUUUUUAUUGCCAAUGUAUGCGCAAGGGCGUUUGCAGAUCUUAGUAUAUGUUUGAAUAUGAAACUUCUAGAUAUAUUUAAUUUCUGUUGAAUAUCGUAUAUAUAUGCUCCAAUAUGUGAACGAUCUUGACUUUUUGUUACACAUUUCUUGAUUAUUCUGAGAGAGCCUCCUUUUAUUAUAACCUUCGGCCAUUCCUAUUCCACUCCUACUUGGACCGCUUUCCUACAUGUGAUUGCUUCAGCUGCAAAUGCGAAAGUUACCCCAUGAUGGAUCUCUAAGCAGAAAGUAAGACAACCCAUUCUUCGUUUCUGACAACAAUCCCUGAGGCAGAUUGGUGGUGAUUCGCAUCAUACGCACCAUCAAAAUUAAUUUUUACGAAUUCAUUAGGUGGAUAACUCCAUCUUCUUAUCUCCUUCCCCUUUACUGGAUUUCUCAUUUCUAAACCAUUUAAUUCAGCCAUAUAGUUGUUGAUGAAAUCUGCUAUUUCCUGCCCUGUACUAUUUUUCUGCUCAUGUAUUCUUCGUUUCUGACAACAGAAGAGGCGGCUCUGGUAUGAAGUAAGCUGAUCAAAGAUCCAGGUAAUCCAUUGUAAAAAAAAUCCAUGUUAGGAUCUAGAAUAAAAUUUUGAAUUUUUAAUAGUGUCCAAACUUCUAUUGUGACAGGACAUUCGCGAAAAAUAUGGUCGAUUGUUUCAGCCAUUUCUCCACAUCGGGGGCAGCUUGUACUACUAACAAGUUUUCGGUGCUGCAUAUUAACCCUGUCGGCAAAUAGUUCCAUGAAAUUCUCCAUACUGUAACUUUGAUUUUAUUUGGAAGAUUUAGGAGUCAAAGUUUUUUGUAAAAAUUCCUGUAAUCAAUUUGUAAAGCGUAAGCUCUAGGAAUUUCAUCAAAAGUUUGUAAUAGUUUAUAGGCACUGCAGACCGAAAACUCGCCUGAAUACGCGCCUCUUCAGACAAGUAGAUCAUUGUGAGGUGUGUAUGCUAAAGGUAUCCGGAGGAUUUUUCCAGCAUCUUCCUUUGAAAAGGUAUUCUUUAUAAGUUCUCUUUUCCAUGUUCUCUCAUUACUGUUGAUCAACUCACUAGCCUUGACAUCACACAUACAAUUAACAACUGAAGAUAAUUUAACAUUAACAGCAUCUGGAAUCCAAGCAUUAGCAUUGAUAGAAAUAUUUGUACCUGUACCAACCCUCCAACAUAUUCUUUUUUUCCAAAAUACCCUUCACUGCCCAUAUGCUUUUCCAUAUAUAAGAACUGGUUUUCCCCAAUCGAGAAUUUAAAAAAUAUUCAUUUGUGAAAUAUUUUGUUUUAAAAACUCACAUAACCAAAGAAUCUUGAUUAGUAAUAAUCCUCCACCCUUGCUUAGCUAGUAAUGAAAUAUUGAAUUGAGCUAGAUUUCUAAAGUCCAUUCUCCCUCCUCUUUUGAUCGACAUAUAAAUUUCCAUUAACACUAGUGUAUCCCUUUCCUUCCCUAUCCUUUUUGCCACCAGAAUUUAGCGAAAAUAUUUUCUAACUCCUCACAUAAUAAUUUUGGUAGGAGGAAACAUAUCAUAGCAUAAGUUGGAAUUGCUUGAAGAACAGAUUUUAUAAAGACCUCAUUUUCCCCUUGUGAUAGUAACCUUGUACUCCAGCUUUCAAUUCUUGACUUAACUUUAUCUUUGAGAUUCUAAAAAGCUUUCUUCUUUUGUUUGCCUACAACAUUAGGGAGUCCUAGAUAUUUUUCCAAAUUUGUGGAGCAUCUCAUACCUAGUAAACUCGAGAUUUCUUCUGUCUCUUUCUGCUGUAUUUGAGCUAUAGAAAAUUGUCGAUUUGCUAAAAUUCACGCAUCGACCUGAUUGUUCAUAUUCUUUCAAAAUGUCUUUUAAAAUUCUUGCCCUUCUAUUUGUCGCUUCACCAAAUAGUAUACAGUCAUCUGUAAACAGCAAGUGCGAUAUUUCUGGUCAUUUUCUACUAACCCUCACUCACUUCAUCAAUCCCUCAGCUAUUGCUAAUCUUAUCAAAGAUGAGAUUCCCUUAUUGCAUAUUAAAAAAAAAGGGCUAAGCGGGUCACCCUGACGAAGCCCUCUAGUCGGCUUAAAAACAUUUCCUCUUCUCCCAUUGAUAUUCAUUGUAUAAGAGACUGUAGAGAUACAUUUCAUGAUUAAUGUCGCCCAUUCCAUUGUAAAUCCCAUUUGAAGCAUAACUUCCUUUAGAAAAGCCCACUUAACUUAUCAUAAGCCUUGUUCAUAUCUAGUUUUACUGCCAUAAGCCCUUUUUUCCCAGUUAGUUUUGACGUAGCAUAUGUAAUAGUUUAUAUGCUAUAAGCACAUUGUUAGUAAUUAAUCUUUCGGGAACGAAAGCACUUUGAGCUUUGUCAAUACAUUUUCCAAUGACUUCCUAAAGAUGAUUUGUAAAUGUUUUUGCCAUAAUUUUGUAUAAAAUUGUGCAUAAGCUGAUAGGUCUAAAAUUAACAAGACUUGUGGGAUUUGGUACUUUUGGGAUAAGUACAAUAUCUGUAAGGUUUAGAGAGUCAAAAUCCCUUCCAUCAUUCAGAAGUCCCAAGCAAAAAACUUUCAAGAGCUUUACCUACAAUGUGCCAAAAUCUUUGAAAAAAUAAAGCAGGAAAUCCAUCAUAACCUGGUGCUUUAGUGGGCCCUAUUCCUUUCAAAGCUGAAAAUACCUUUUCUGUCGUAAAUGGUAUUAGUAAAUCUGUAUAGAUAUCAGAUGAAAUAUUAGUAUUAAUGCCCUUUAGAAGGUGGGAUAAAUUCCCAAUUCCCUUUGACGAAAAUAAAUUCUAAAAGUAAUUUGAAGCGGCCUCAUUAAUCGCUGAUUCAUCAUAAAUUUCCUUCCCUUCAUCAGAUUCCAGCCUAGUAAUAGUGUUAAUUUGUCUACGAGCUAAGGCAUAUUUGUGAAAAAAGGCAAAAUUUUUAUCUUCUAAUUGAAGCCAAUUGGCUCGUGCCCUCUGUUCCCAAGACAUUUCGUCUUUAGCAAUCUCCAUAUUAAGUUGAAUUCUAGUAUCAAUCAGCUUUGCCAUUGUGUCAUCAUCCCUAUCGCUUGCCAGUAGAUCUUCAAGUUCCUUUGUGAACUUAGUCUUUAACCUAUCUCAACCCUGCUUUAUUGAGCUUGCCCACCUUAUAUCUGCAGCCUUCUAAACUUUUCAAUAAUAGAUCCAUUUGAUGACUCCCAUGAUUUUAUAAUCUCUCGUUCAAUAGAUGCCUUCAUGGUCCACCAUGCCUUUAAUUUGAAUCUUGGAAUCCCCUUAUAGUUCUUCUCAUUAUUAGUACUGAUAAGUAGGGGAUAAUGAUCUGAAAUCGAGUGUGUUAAAUGAUGAAUAAUUCCUUUUGGGAAAAGAUGCAUCCACUUUUCAUUCGCCACUCCCCUAUCCAGUUGCUCUUUAAUAUUUAUUUUCGGUAGAUUCCUCCCUUCCGUGUAAACCAAACCCCUGAAUACCCCAUGUCCAUUAAUUGACAUUCUUCUAAAACCUCACUUAAAGUUUUCAUUCUUUUCUCCUCCUUCGAUUAACGUCCACUUUUUUUUUAAAAGAAUACAUUAUUUCAUUAAAAUCACCUCAUACCAACCAUUGGUGGUUUUGAUCCUGACCCAACUUCCUUAACAAAUUCCACGAGACACUCUUAUUAUUAACAUAAAGUGAAUCGUAAAACCCUGUAAAGCUCCACUCUUCAUUGAAAUUGUCCUCUUUUAUCAUCACAUCAAUAUGGCUUUUUGAGAAAUUGUUUGGACAAACCGUAAUACCUGCUUUCUAUGCCAUACAAAUUUCAUCUCUAAAACCUUCAACUCCUACAUCAAUCCCAUUUUCAAAACCAUAUCUCCUCCUAAUUUUUUUCAUGCGCUUUUCGUCUAUUUUGGUCUCCAUAAGGAAGACUAUUUAGGGUUUAUGUUGCUUCAGCAAAUACUGAAGCCUUCUCACUGACCGUGAACUCCCCAAUCCACGAACGUUCUAGCAAAUGGUUUUCAUUGUGCCCGGUCGACUUGCCAUUUGGCAGUUGACGAUUUAUUUUGGUUGGUAAUACACCCUUGCUUGAGAAUUUUUACCAACAAAAUUAUGCCUCCUUCGAUAUGAAAGUCUUGGCCGUCGUACUUCAUUCUUUUUGCUUCCUCUUUACAGGAUUUUCCUUUGCCAUUGUCUUUAAUUUCUAUAUCCUCUGAUUUUCUUUUUCUCAAUAUACUCUCUCCGUUACAAAUAUCCACCUCUCUUACUACCUCAAUUCUCUUCCAACUCGAUUUCUUGGCUGGUUUCAAAAUUCCUGCGUAAUUAUUAUUUUCCCCAUUUGCUUUUUCUUCCACAACUAUCUCUUCCUCCUGUAUCAUCAUCCCUUUCUCUGUUUCUGUAAAUUGUAAACUAUCUUGGAUUUUUUGGGCCAUGUCACUUUUAUCCUUCUCUUGAAAAUUUAACUCAAGAAUCUUCUCUAUAUCACCUGUAUAUGAACAUUGAGGCUGCACCUUCUUUGAAAAGACAUUAAAAUUUAAACUCUCCCUUUCAAUAAAAUUUACUUCUGCUUUUAAUGCUAAAGAAUAAAGAAGAUCAUCUCUGAUUUUAUUUUUUUUACAGGUGUAAAAUUGAGGCAUUCGAUGAGCCCAUGCUCCACAUUCCAUAGUCAAACCAGAAUGUUGGUAAUUUUUCAUAUUUAAAAGGGAUUCAGGACUUACUUUGAUUUUCAGUUGAGACGAAAAUACCCCUGCGCAAGGGUUUUUGCACAUCUAACUGAACUCUAAGCUGACAGAAUUCACCAUUAAUUGUAGAUCUCAGAACGCCUCCAAAAGUAACCCCAAUAGCAUGCAUUAAAUCUUUUUUUAUCAAAUUCUGGUAAACAUGGUCCAAUUUUAAUCCAAAACGGGGAUGAAUUAAGCCUAAUAUGACUUAUUUCCAUCGGUUUAUUCAACUGAUCAAAGAGCAUUAAAUUUUUCUGAAACAACCAUGAUUGCCC
rnacentral:lncRNA from 1 species